rnacentral:rRNA from 1 species
UUGUCACACUCCUACGGGGAGGCAGCAGUGGGGAAUAUUGCACAAUGGGGGAAACCCUGAUGCAGCCAUGCCGCGUGUGUGAAGAAGGCCUUCGGGUUGUAAAGCACUUUCAGUAGGGAGGAAGGUAGUGUAGUUAACACCUGCACUAUUUGACGUUACCUACAGAAGAAGCACCGGCUAACUCCGUGCCAGCAGCCGCGGUAAUACGGAGGGUGCGAGCGUUAAUCGGAAUUACUGGGCGUAAAGCGCAUGCAGGCGGCCUGUUAAGUCAGAUGUGAAAGACCCGGGGCUUAACCUCGGAAUUGCAUUUGAAACUGGCAGGCUAGAGUCUUGUAGAGGGGGGUAGGAAUUUCAGGUGUAGCGGUGAAAUGCGUAGAGAUCUGAAGGAAUACCAGUGGCGAAGGCGGCCCCCUGGACAAAGACUGACGCUCAGAUGCGAAAGCGUGGGGAGCAAACAGGAUUAGAUACCCUGGUAG